UGGUGGUUAUUCUGAUGUGAUCAUGUGUCGGAAAUGCUCACAGAAGAUCCGACAGCUCAUGAAAAAGCACUUCGCUGAUUCUAAAGCAACGAAGGAGAGGACAAAACAGAAGAGAACAAAAAUGAACUAUCGAAUUAGAGAGCCACCUUCUUAUCAUUCCAGAGAAUCAGAGGCCUCCGCUCUAGAUAACAAGGAGACAGAUUGAGGCUAUCAUUCAGACGAGUCUG
rnacentral:lncRNA from 1 species